rnacentral:rRNA from 1 species
GGUCAAGCGAAGAAUAG